rnacentral:rRNA from 1 species
UACGGAGGGUGCAAGCGUUAAUCGGAAUUACUGGGCGUAAAGGGCGCGUAGGCGGUUAAAUAAGUGAGAUGUGAAAUCCCUGGGCUUAACCUAGGAACUGCAUCUUAUACUGUUUGACUAGAGUACUGUAGAGGGUAGUGGAAUUUCCGGUGUAGCGGUGAAAUGCGUAGAGAUCGGAAGGAACACCAGUGGCGAAGGCGGCUACCUGGACAGAUACUGACGCUGAGGCGCGAGAGCGUGGGGAGCAAAC